rnacentral:rRNA from 1 species
AGUGAACGCUGGCGGUAGGCCUAACACAUGCAAGUCGAACGGCAGCACAGUAAGAGCUUGCUCUUACGGGUGGCGAGUGGCGGACGGGUGGGGAAUACAUCGGAAUCUACUUUUUCGUGGGGGAUAACGUAGGGAAACUUACGCUAAUACCGCAUACGACCUACGGGUGAAAGCCGGGGAUCUUCGCACCUUGCGCGAUUGACUGCCCCGAUGUCGGAUUAGCUAGUUGGCGGGGUAAAGGCCCACCAAGGCGACGAUCCGUAGCUGGUCUGAGAGGAUAAUCAGCCACACUGGAACUGAGACACGGUCCAGACUCCUACGGGAGGCAGCAGUGGGGAAUAUGGGACAAUGGGCGCAAUCAUGAUCAAGCCAUACCGCGUGGGGGAAGAAGGCCGGCGGGUUGUAAAGCCCUUUUGUUGGGAAAGAAAAGCAGCAGGUUAAUACCCCGCUGUUCUGACGGUACCCAAAGAAUAAGCACCGGCUAACUUCGUG